CAGCAGCAAGUUCCCAGCCAGGAGGCUGAAGGGACUGAGGACAAUGAAAUGCAUUACUCCACCAUCGCCCACGUUGGACGUAAAGGGCCUCGUGUGCAAGAGCUGAACAGCAGCACAACCUAUGCCCCGGUGAGGCUCUCCCACGGCCAGCCCAGAGAGUGC